UGGGGAAUAUUGGGCAAUGGGCGCAAGCCUGACCCAGCAACGCCGCGUGAAGGAAGAAGCUUUCGGUUGUAAACUUCUUUUCUCAGGGACGAACAGAUGACGGUACCUGAGGAAUAAGCCACGGCUAACUACGUGCC
rnacentral:rRNA from 1 species